rnacentral:rRNA from 1 species
AUGUUGGCCGGGCGACGGUUGUCCCGGUUUAAGCGUGUAGGCUGGUUUUCCAGGCAAAUCCGGAAAAUCAAGGCUGAGGCGUGAUGACGAGGUACUACGGUGCUGAAGCAACAAAUGCCCUGCUUCCAGGAAAAGCCUCUAAGCAUCAGGUAACAUCAAAUCGUACCCCAAACCGACACAGGUGGUCAGGUAGAGAAUACCAAGGCGCUUGAGAGAACUCGGGUGAAGGAACUAGGCAAAAUGGUGCCGUAACUUCGGGAGAAGGCACGCUGAUAUGUAGGUGAAGUCCCUCGCGGAUGGAGCUGAAAUCAGUCGAAGAUACCAGCUGGCUGCAACUGUUUAUUAAAAACACAGCACUGUGCAAACACGAAAGUGGACGUAUACGGUGUGACGCCUGCCCGGUGCCGGAAGGUUAAUUGAUGGGGUCAGCGCAAGCGAAGCUCUUGAUCGAAGCCCCGGUAAACGGCGGCCGUAACUAUAACGGUCCUAAGGUAGCGAAAUUCCUUGUCGGGUAAGUUCCGACCUGCACGAAUGGCGUAAUGAUGGCCAGGCUGUCUCCACCCGAGACUCAGUGAAAUUGAACUCGCUGUGAAGAUGCAGUGUACCCGCGGCAAGACGGAAAGACCCCGUGAACCUUUACUAUAGCUUGACACUGAACAUUGAGCCUUGAUGUGUAGGAUAGGUGGGAGGCUUUGAAGUGUGGACGCCAGUCUGCAUGGAGCCGACCUUGAAAUACCACCCUUUAAUGUUUGAUGUUCUAACGUUGACCCGUAAUCCGGGUUGCGGACAGUGUCUGGUGGGUAGUUUGACUGGGGCGGUCUCCUCCUAAAGAGUAACGGAGGAGCACGAAGGUUGGCUAAUCCUGGUCGGACAUCAGGAGGUUAGUGCAAUGGCAUAAGCCAGCUUGACUGCGAGCGUGACGGCGCGAGCAGGUGCGAAAGCAGGUCAUAGUGAUCCGGUGGUUCUGAAUGGAAGGGCCAUCGCUCAACGGAUAAAAGGUACUCCGGGGAUAACAGGCUGAUACCGCCCAAGAGUUCAUAUCGACGGCGGUGUUUGGCACCUCGAUGUCGGCUCAUCACAUCCUGGGGCUGAAGUAGGUCCCAAGGGUAUGGCUGUUCGCCAUUUAAAGUGGUACGCGAGCUGGGUUUAGAACGUCGUGAGACAGUUCGGUCCCUAUCUGCCGUGGGCGCUGGAGAACUGAGGGGGGCUGCUCCUAGUACGAGAGGACCGGAGUGGACGCAUCACUGGUGUUCGGGUUGUCAUGCCAAUGGCACUGCCCGGUAGCUAAAUGCGGAAGAGAUAAGUGCUGAAAGCAUCUAAGCACGAAACUUGCCCCGAGAUGAGUUCUCCCUGACUCCUUGAGAGUCCUGAAGGAACGUUGAAGACGACGACGUUGAUAGGCCGGGUGUGUAAGCGCAGCGAUGCGUUGAGCUAACCGGUACUAAUGAACCGUGAGGCUUAACCUUACAACGCCGAAGGUGUUU